rnacentral:rRNA from 1 species
UGAGGAACAUGACCUUCGGCGGGGGAUAGCCGGCCCAACGGCCGGGUAAUACCGCGUACGACCUUCCGGGGACAUCCCUGGAUGGUGAAAGCAGCAAUGCGCCGAUGGAGUGCCUCGCGGCCUAUCAGCUAGUUGGUGAGGUAACGGCUCACCAAGGCGACGACGGGUAGCUGGUCUGAGAGGAUGGCCAGCCACAUUGGGACUGAGACACGGCCCAGACUCCUAGGGAGNAG